UGAGUGGCGAACGGGUGAGUAAUGUAUCGGAACGUACCUUUCAGUGGGGGAUAACGUAGCGAAAGUUACGCUAAUACCGCAUAUUCUGUGAGCAGGAAAGCAGGGGAUCGCAAGACCUUGCGCUGAUUGAGCGGCCGAUAUCAGAUUAGCUAGUUGGUGAGGUAAAGGCUCACCAAGGCGACGAUCUGUAGCGGGUCUGAGAGGAUGAUCCGCCACACUGGAACUGAGACACGGUCCAGACUCCUACGGGAGGCAGCAGUGGGGAAUUUUGGACAAUGGGGGCAACCCUGAUCCAGCCAUGCCGCGUGAGUGAAGAAGGCCUUCGGGUUGUAAAGCUCUUUCGUCCGGGAAGAAAUCGCAUCAGCUAAUACCUGGUGUGGAUGACGGUACCGGAAUAA
rnacentral:rRNA from 1 species